GGGCACCAAGAGAAAUAAGUCAUUUUAUAUUUUUGUGAGUUAGGCACAGAAAGGUGAUACAAAGCCGAGCUAAAUUGUUAAUGGAAUAUUGAUGGAAAAGAUAGGCUACUACUGCCACAGAUUGUACCGCAAAGCAUUUAGAGCCUUCAAGGUGAUCUUACUUCACGGCUGAAUGUCAAAAGAAUGAAAGAUUGUGCAGCUCUUUUUGUGUGAAGCCCGGCCCCCUCAAUUUCCGAAUAUGAAUUUGCUGCGUUAUUAUCCUCAACACACACAGAAGCACAGACGCAUAAGCACAUAAAUCUCUUUCGCCUUUUUGGUAGCUACUUUUUGAGCUCCGACCACGGGAUUCGACGAGCCGGAAUUCGGAAUUCGGGACUCUGGACUCGGAUGGAUAUGCAGCUAGUUUAAUCUACUUGGACAUAACAAUAAAAUUUAUAUCAUCUUA